CGAACGGGUGAGUAACGCGUGAGCAACCUGCCUAUGACAGUGGGAUAGCCUCGGGAAACCGGGAUUAAUACCGCAUAAAAUCGUAGAAACACAUGUUUUAACGGUCAAAUAUUUAUCGGUCAUAGAUGGGCUCGCGUCUGAUUAGCUAGUUGGUGAGGUAACAGCCCACCAAGGCGACGAUCAGUAGCCGGUCUGAGAGGAUGAACGGCCACAUUGGAACUGAGACACGGUUCAA
rnacentral:rRNA from 1 species